UCGCAAGGCUGAAACUCAAAGGAAUUGACGGGGGCCCGCACAAGCGGUGGAGCAUGUGGUUCAAUUCGACGCAACGCGAAGAACCUUACCUGGGCUCGAACGGCUGGUUACCGGCGGUGGAAACAUCGCUACCCCGCAAGGGGGUCCAGUCGAGGUGCUGCAUGGCUGUCGUCAGCUCGUGUCGUGAGAUGUUGGGUUAAGUCCCGCAACGAGCGCAACCCUUGUCCUGUGUUGCCAUCAUUCAGUUGGGAACUCGCAGGAGACCGCCAGCGAUAAGCUGGAGGAAGGUGGGGAUGACGUCAAGUCCUCAUGGCCUUUAUGUCCAGGGCUACACACGUGCUACAAUGGACGGUACAAAGCGCUGCAAACCCGCGAGGGGGAGCCAAUCGCAGAAAACCGUUCUCAGUUCGGAUUGCAGGCUGCAACUCGCCUGCAUGAAGCUGGAAUCGCUAGUAAUGGCAGAUCAGCACGCUGCCGUGAAUACGUUCCCGGGCCUUGUACACACCGCCCGUCACAUCACGAAAGUGGAUUGUACUAGAAGUCUGCGCGCCGACCGCAAGGGGGCAGCGGCCCAAGGUAUGAUCCAUGAUUGGGGUGAAG
rnacentral:rRNA from 1 species